rnacentral:rRNA from 1 species
UAACGUAGGGCGCAAGCGUUGUCCGGAAUUAUUGGGCGUAAAAGAGCUCGUAGGCGGCUUGUCACGUCGGGUGUGAAAGCCCGGGGCUUAACCCCGGGUCUGCAUUCGAUACGGGCUAGCUAGAGUGUGGUAGGGGAGAGUCGGAAUUCCUGGUGUAGCGGUGAAAAUGCGCAGAUAUCAGGAGGAACACCGAUGGCGAAGGCAGGUCUCCUGGGCAUUAACUGACGCUGAGGAGCGAAAGCAUGGGGAGCGAACAGG